rnacentral:tRNA from 1 species
GAGUGUAUAGUUCAGUGGUAGAAUGCAUGCUUAGCAUGCGUGAGGUCCUGGGUUCAGUCCUCAGUACCUCCA